AGCGAACGCUGGCGGCAGGCCUAACACAUGCAAGUCGAACGGACCCUUCGGGGUUAGUGGCGGACGGGUGAGUAACACGUGGGAACGUGCCCUUUGGUACGGAACAACUCAGGGAAACUUGAGCUAAUACCGUAUAAGCCCUACUGGGGAAAGAUUUAUCGCCAUUGGAGCGGCCCGCGUCUGAUUAGCUAGUUGGUGAGGUAAAGGCUCACCAAGGCUACGAUCAGUAGCUGGUCUGAGAGGAUGAUCAGCCACAUUGGGACUGAGACACGGCCCAAACUCCUACGGGAGGCAGCAGUGGGGAAUCUUGCGCAAUGGGCGAAAGCCUGACGCAGCCAUGCCGCGUGAAUGAUGAAGGUCUUAGGAUUGUAAAAUUCUUUCACCGGGGACGAUAAUGACGGUACCCGGAGAAGAAGCUCCGGCUAACUUCGUGCCAGCCGCCGCGGU
rnacentral:rRNA from 1 species